rnacentral:tRNA from 1 species
UACCUCGUGGUCUAAUGGUUUAGGACGUUCGUAUGAAAUACAAGAGAUCUGGGUUCAAGUUCCGGCUGAAGUAA